rnacentral:rRNA from 1 species
UGCGUAGGGGGCAAGCGUUAUCCGGAUUUACUGGGUGUAAAGGGGGCGCAGACGGCGAUGCAAGCCAGGAGUGAAAGCCCGGGGCCCGACCCCGGGACUGCUCUUGGAACUGCGUGGCUGGAGUGCAGGAGGGGCAGGCGGAAUUCCUGGUGUAGCGGUGAAAUGCGUAGAUAUCAGGAGGAACACCGGUGGCGAAGGCGGCCUGCUGGACUGCAACUGACGUUGAGGCCCGAAAGCGUGGGGAGCAAACAGG